rnacentral:rRNA from 1 species
CCUACGGGUGGCAGCAGUGAGGAAUAUUGGUCAAUGGGCGAGAGCCUGAACCAGCCAAGUCGCGUGAGGGAAGACGGUCCUACGGAUUGUAAACCUCUUUUGUCAGGGAGCAAGGAGCGCCACGAGUGGUGCGGCGAGAGGACCUGAAGAAAAAGCAUCGGCUAACUCCGGGCCAGCAGCCGCGGUAAUACGGAGGAUGCGAGCGUUAGCCGGAUAUAAUGGGGUUAACGGGUGCGCAGGCGGAGGCGGCCAGUCGGCGGUAAAAUCGCGGGGCUCAACCUCGCCGAGCCGUUGAAACUGCUCUUCUAGAGUGGGCGAGAAGUAUGCGGAAUGCGUGGUGUAGCGGUGAAAUGCAUAGAUAUCACGCAGAACUCCAGUUGCGAAGGCAGCAUACCGGCGCCCAACUGACGCUCAGGCACGAAAGCGUGGGUAUCGAACAGGAUUAGAUACCCCGGUAGUC